GCUACGGGAGGCAGCAGUGAGGAAUAUUGGUCAAUGGCCGGGAGGCUGAACCAGCCAAGUCGCGUGAGGGAAGACGGCCCUACGGGUUGUAAACCUCUUUUGUCAGGGAGCAAGGUGCAGGUCGGGACCUGCUGUGAGAGUACCUGAAGAAAAAGCAUCGGCUAACUCCGUGCCAGCAGCCGCGGUAAUACGGAGGAUGCGCGCGUUAUCCGGAUUUAUUGGGUUUAAAGGGUGCGCAGGCGGAGGCACAAGUCAGCGGUAAAAUCGCGGGGCUCAACCCCGUCGUGCCGUUGAAACUGAUGUUCUUGAGUGGGCGAGAAGUAUGCGGAAUGCGUGGUGUAGCGGUGAAAUGCAUAGAUAUCACGCAGAACUCCGAUUGCGAAGGCAGCAUACCGGCGCCCAACUGACGCUGAAGCACGAAAGCGUGGGUAUCGAACAGGAUUAGAUACCCUAGUAGUC
rnacentral:rRNA from 1 species